CGGCCAGUGAUGUCAUAAGGGGUGUCCUGAGCAGAAGGUUCCAGAAGCCUGAAUUAUGGAGUUGUGUUGGGUGGGAACCCAUCUACCACCAUCACCCUGGCUAGACUGAGGGGUGACCAGAGCAAGAAGGGGACAACACACACACACACAUACACACACACACACACACACACACACACACACACACACACACGCUUCUGGGACCACCCACCACUGACCAACUCUGUGGAAGGAGAACUACCUUGCUGACCAGAUGUCUCCAUCUGUGACACCUGGCCACCUUGUGAAAGUUGCACUGUGACAAAUACUUCUUGUGAAUCUGCAAAGGCUGGACCACCAAUGACUCAAGAGAAGAAGGCGGAAGACCUUGAGAGAGGCACAGACGCCACCUCAGCUGUUCCCAGGCUAUGGAGCACCCACUGUGAUGGAGAAGUGCUCCUGAGGUUGUCCAAACAUGGUCCAGGCCAUGAGACCCCGAUGACCAUCCCUGAGCUGUUCCAGGAAUCUGCUGAGCGAUUCAGUGCUUAUCCGGCCCUAGCCUCAAAGAACGGCAAAAAGUGGGACACGCUGACAUUCAGCCAGUACUAUGAAAUGUGUCGAAAGGCAGCCAAGUCUCUGAUCAAGCUCGGCCUGCAGCGCUUCCAGUGUGUCGGCAUCCUGGGCUUUAACUCGGUCGAGUGGGUCGUUACUGCUCUGGGCACUAUCUUGGCUGGGGGCCUCUGUGUUGGUAUUUAUGCCACCAACUCGGCUGAGGCCUGCCAGUACGUCAUCCAGCAGGCCAACGUGAGUAUCUUGAUAGUGGAGAAUGACCAACAGCUGCAGAAAAUCCUGUUGAUUCCACCAGACAAGAUGGAGACCGUGAAAGCCAUUGUGCAGUACAAGCUGCCCUUGAUGGAAAGCAUGGCAAACCUGUACUCAUGGAAUGACUUCAUGGAGCUAGGGAAUGACAUCCCAAAUAUCCAGCUGGAUCGGGUCAUCCUGAGCCAGAAGGCCAACCAGUGUGCUGUCAUCCUCUACACCUCUGGGACCACAGGGACCCCCAAAGGCGUGCUGCUGAGCCAUGACAAUAUCACAUGGACGGCAGGGGCGAUGUCGCAAGAGAUGGAGAUAAACCGAGUCUCAGGGAAGCAGAAUACAAUAGUCAGCUACCUGCCCCUCAGCCACAUCGCAGCCCAGCUCACAGACAUCUGGAUCCCCAUCAAGAUUGGGGCACUCACUUUCUUUGCUCAACCAGAUGCACUCAGGUGUUCACCUGCUCCAUCCCACACAGGGCACCUUGGUGUACACGCUUCAAGAAGUGAAGCCUACACUUUUCAUGGGGGUGCCACGCAUCUGGGAAAAGAUGCAGGACACCAUCAAGGAAAACGUGGCCAGGUCCUCCCGCCUGAGAAAGAAGGCAUUUGCAUGGGCGAAGAUGCUUGGCUUGAAGGUCAACACCAAGCGGAUGCUGGGGAAGCGAGACAUCCCCAUGAAUUACCGCAUGGCAAAGGCCCUUGUGUUCGCGAAGGUCAGGACCUCCCUGGGCUUAGACAAUUGCCACGCCUUCUUCAGCAGCGCUUCGCCCCUCUCUCAGGAUGUCUCAGAGUUCUUUCUCAGCCUGGACAUCCCCAUUGGUGAGAUCUACGGGAUGAGUGAGUGCUCCGGACCGCACACAGUCUCCAACAAGAGUGUCUACAGAGUUUUGAGCUGUGGCAAGGUCCUGAGUGGCUGUAAGAACAUGCUGUACAACCAGAACAAAGAAGGCGUGGGUGAGGUGUGCAUGUGGGGCCGGCAUGUCUUCAUGGGCUACCUGAACAAGGAGGAGGCCACAUUGGAAGCACUGGAUGAAAAUGGCUGGCUGCACUCUGGGGACAUUGGCCGCCUGGACAGCCAUGAUUUCCUUUAUAUCACUGGCCGCAUCAAAGGCUUGUCCCCAGGCCAAUCUGUUGGAGACAUUUUUCUCAUCUUCCCAGAAGACUCUGACUUGACAAGCUGACCAAGGCUAACCAGACACAUGGUGCCCCUGUGGGGACCCUGAGGACUCAGAUGUUGGGAGAAUGCAGGAAAAUCCUGAUAACCGCUGGUGGUGAGAAUGUAUCCCCCAUCCCCAUUGAGACCCUGGUAAAGGAGAAGAUCCCCAUUAUCAGCCACGCCAUGCUGGUGGGCGACAAGGCCAAAUUCCUGUGCAUGCUGCUGACGCUGAAGUGUGAAACAGACCGGAAGAGCGGAGAGCCCUUGAACAAGCUGAGCGUGGAGGCCAAAAGCUUCUGCCAGAUGCUGGGUAGCCAAGCAACCACUGUGUCGGACAUUUUGAAGAGUCGAGACCAAGUGGUCUACACGGCCAUCCAAUAUGGCAUAGACAUCGUGAAUCAGCAAGCGAUGUCUGACUCACAUAGAAUCCGAAAGUGGAUCAUCUUGGAGAAGGACUUUUCGAUCCAGGGUGGGGAGCUGGGACCGACAUCAAAACUUAAGAGAAGUGUGAUAACCCAGAAAUACAAAGCACAGAUUGACAGCAUGUACUUGUCAUAAUGACUGUGACAGGAGCGUCCUCCUGUCCUCAUGCCUCCAACAGAUCAGCCUCAUCUCAAUGGAGAACAUCGUCCCCACCAGGAAGCCACACCCCCGAUGCUCUGCUUCCAAAGAAGGCAGCCCACAGUAGAGACAACAAGCCUUCCAGGCGUAAGUGGAAAGUGGAAAGUGGAGUGACUUCAUGCAGCUGUGACUGGCUCUUCCUCUCCUAGGACUCUGUAUUCGAAAAGAGGUGUGAACACCCAGAGCCCAAAACACCUUCCUGGGAGCAGCAUGGAAACCCCUCAAAUAAGUAGUCAGGAGCCUCA